rnacentral:rRNA from 1 species
GGCUUGUGGCGUCGAUGAAGAACGCAGCCAACUGUGUGAAUUAUUGUGAAUUGCAAACUGCCUUGAACAUCGACUUCUUGAACGCAAAUUGCGGCAUUAGGCCAUGCCUGAUGCCACGCCUAUCCGAGAGUCGGCAUAGUAUUAAUCGCGACGCUGAAUUGGUCGCGGAUUGGUUUGUUGUCAACCGUCGUGUUUGUCUAUUCAACACGUUGCAUGUUGAUAAGACGGCGGAGUGUGUGACGCUUACCUAACCUAUUGGAGAGUGCGUGUAUAUCUGCAUAGUCUGCCAGUAGCCUUUCUCGUCAGUCGAGCUUUUACACAUCUGCAAUGAAUUUUCUUGAUAGCCGUAGAUGUGGAUAGCAGUUAUGACGUUGACUGUGCGUGUUUUCUGGUUGACAUUCACUAGUUAGGUUGUGGGCUUUUAAUUUAUCGUUUAUGACUGCAAUGUGAUGCUUUUCAUAAAUGCGGUUCUCCUGCGCCUAAAGGCCUUUGGUUGUGCAGUGACCAGUGUUUCUUAAGUGUGUGCACUUGCGUGCAAGGUCGCAGCAUAAUGUGUUUGCGACGCUGUCUAAGCUUGUGUAAUUCAUUUAAUCUGUGUUGCUGCCGUUGGCCCGAGGGUGAAUUUGUAAUCCUAAGGGAGUUCGCUUGCCCACGCCUAGCUUAUACUGCAACUCUUGUUCAGAUGUGUAUGUCGGUGGCACAAGUAUUCCUGGAGAGUGCUGUGUUUUGUGCUGCCUGACCUCGGAUUAGGCGUGAUUACCCGCUGAACUUAAGCAUAUCAGUAAGCGGAGGAAAAGAAACUAACCAGGAUUCGGAUCCGGC